rnacentral:lncRNA from 1 species
AACUGAGUCCCACACCCCAAACCUAGUCAUCCUCGCCAACAACCUUUCAUCUCCUUUCUUUCUUUGUCACCAACAACCUCUAGCACCUGACUAAAACCUUGUUUGUUUAGCUCUUAAUGUCUCUUAAGAUUCAGAGCGUUUGGCUAGCACUUAAUUUAUCAUCUUAAUUGGAAAAAAAUGUCUGACCGAAUCAGAUGAAAACUCACGUCUGAAAAAAAAAAAAAGAGGACACGUAUUUUUAUUUUUCUAAUCCCUACCUUCGCCUCUUCUCUCUGUCAUCAAAGAACACCCGCCUUUAUCUUUCUUUCUUCUCAUCGACGCAUCAUUCUCGAUCUGCUCGGCGUUCCUCUCUGCCAUCGUGGGCGUCGUGUCCGGCUCCAACCGUUGAGCUACAACCCUCCAGCAUCGUCGCCGACUGUUGCAUCAUUCCUCCGGUUGCUACACCAUUCCUCCAUCCUCAAUCUGCUUAUCUUCGAUCUUCGGGUAAUGUCUUCGAUUUUCCUAUUUCUCUUGCUAUGUAAUCGAUUUUUGCUUGAAAUCAGAGCUUCUUUCUUUUGCUAGCGCAUGAAAUCAGAGUUAACUUUUCCUUUGUUUUGUUGUUUUUGUUUCCUUUUGCUUUGCUUGAAAUCAGGUAAUGUCUUCGAUUUUUGAUUUUCCUACUUUACAUAAUCAUCAAAUUUGAAAUCUAACAUAUAUUUUUUUUUCUAAAAUCAGAGAUGAAAUUAGAUGUUACUUUUUUCUGUAGACGAUACCCAGAUGAAAUUAGAUGUUAAUUUUUGUUGAAGACGAUACCUAGUUGUAGCCACCAUUAUAAAGCCUUUGUUUUCGUGAUUUCUUGUUAUAUGCUUGAGAUUUCAUUUUAGAUUCCCAGGGGUACCUUGAAUACCAGUCGUGGCAUAAGUUAUUUCACAUUUGGGAUGAACAAUAAAGGACCUCACGUGAGAGUUCCUCAUCACUUUACUUGAUGUGUUGAAUAGGUUGGAAUGAAAGACUGGAGUUUUGAGGCAAGAAUAAAAGAAUGAAAGAUUGUUUGUUUUUUGCAUGUCAAGUUUUUAGUGAAUGCAAACAUUUAUUUAUAAAUUGAAUUUGUAAAAGAUUAUUUCUUGUUUAAUGCAAGCCCUAAUGUGGAAUUUUUUGUAAAUUUGUGUUUUAAAGUCAUGAACAUAUGUAGUGGAUUAAAUGUUGAUAAAAAUUUUAUAUGUAAAUGUGAAUUUCUUAA